rnacentral:lncRNA from 1 species
CAUAUAAUUUAUUAUUGCAAAUUUAAUUCAAUGUUACUGUUUCAGUCAUGUUUAAAAAGGUAAUACAUUGCUUCUUAAAUGUCUGUUUACAAUUAAAAGACAUGAUGGGUUUCAUGAAAACACUUGGUAUUCUGCAUAUCUGACAUUAAUUUCCAUAUACAACUUAUACAAGGUACAUUAUAUAUGUACGUCCCAUGUCCUUGCUUAGAGCUGCAGAAUAACUUCUCAAAAAUAGGGUCAGACAUAUUGAUAACGAGUGAAAAUCACAAUUAUAAACGACGACAUUAAAAAAAAAACCAGACAGAAAACCUAUAACCACUAACUAAUAAAUCUGGGAAUGUUGUCAUCUAAAAUUUAACAAAGCCUUCACUGACUAAAGUGUCUUCUUUUCAAAAAAAUAUUAUUAUAGAACGAUAUAUAUAUAAUACUUUUCAUAAUAGGAAUAAAAAAAAAGGCAAAAGAUACAAACAGGUCAAUUAAGCUCAAUGGUCGAAAACAAAACAAUAAUACUAUGACGAGUAAUAAAAAAACCCACACAGGUCUCCACUUACCCCAACAUAAAAAAACCUUAAACACUAAUCAGUAACACCCCUCUUCCCCCC